UAUAGUGACUCAAAUUAUGAUUAAGAGAUCAUUUGGACUUUGACAAGGCCUAUUUCUAACUGAUGAACACAACUGAGGACAUCUUGUAUCUCUUAUCUUGUAUUUUAUGUGCUGCUUACUAUAAUACCUUUUACAUUCUGGAAUCUCUUCCAAUCCCUUUAGCAGCAAUGAUAGCUUGACCAUUUAGUCUUACCUAAUAUAAAGACACAGAAGCAGGUAAUGAGGUGUUAGGGACCAGAGUCGAGAGGGGAAAACACACUGUUUCUAUCAGAAGGAAACAGAGAAGUAGUACUGAAGUAGUUGUGUUUCAGGCCUUUGUGUGUUCAUGCUUUUUGUUCUGUUCCAUUGUAAAGAGCCUCAUAGGAGGAAGAAGAAGAGAAAGAGAAAUUGUAGUCAAUGCAAGACAUGAAACAUUUCUUCAGAUGAGUUUUGAAAAGUAGCACCUCUAUGAAGAGCUUUGUUUGGUGAUACAUCAGAUUCACUCGUGUUCAUAUGGUUUUUAAAUCAGAUUUUAUUCCCUAGUUUUAUUCAUUUUGAUCCUUUUCUAUAUCUAUUAUACAUAAUUUUUUUUCAUUCAGUAUAUUUUGAUCAUAUUCUUUCCCCUCCCCUACUUUCUCCCAGACCCUCCUCACCUUCCUACCUACCCAACUACUUGUUCCUUCUGUCUGUCUGUCUCUCAAAAAACAAGAAAAAAUAACAACAAAAAGAAAAUCACAUCAAACUUUGAAAAAAGAAAAUUAGUUAGAGAAAAGGUAACAAGAUACCACACACAAACACAUCCCCCAAUAUGCAGAGCAUGUGUUUUAGUUAACUACCCUUGGGUGUAGGGCCUGUCCUGGAGUGUGACUGGUGUACCUAAUUUUAUGCUCCAGUGGGGAAAACUGACUUUCCCUUUCCCAGGAAGGUUCAGUCACAGGUAGCUUCCUGGUUAUGGGCAGGACUUUGUCUACUUCACAGGUAGCUUCCUGGUUAUGGGCAGGACUUUGUCUACUUCACAGGUAGCUUCCUGGUUAUGGGCAGGACUUUGUCUACUUCACAGGUAGCUUCCUGGUUAUGGGCAGGACUUUGUCUACUUCCUCUUCUUGGUGCUAGUAUUUUGUAUGACUACUAUGUUUAGCCCUUAAGAACAAAUGUUUAGAAAAUUAUAAACUUAGGGUUUUUGGGUAUUUAUUAGUCCGAGCAAGAAAGCAUCAAUCUAGUGUCAGAAUUCUCUAAUGUCCUGCAAGAUA